UACGUAGGGACCAAGCGUUGUCCGGAAUCAUUGGGCGUAAAGCGCGCGUAGGCGGCCCGGUAAGUCCGUUGUGAAAGUCAAAGGCUCAACCUUUGAAAGCCGAUGGAUACUGCAGGGCUAGAGUCCGGAAGAGGCGAGUAGAAUUCCUGGUGUAGCGGUGGAAUGCGCAGAUAUCAGGAGGAACACCCAUAGCGAAGGCAGCUCGCUGGGACGGUACUGACGCUAAGGCGCGAAAGCGUGGGGAGCGAACAGG
rnacentral:rRNA from 1 species